GACAGAGGGUGCAAACGUUGCUCGGAAUUACUGGGCGUAAAGCGCGUGUAGGCGGGCUGAUAAGUCGGACGUGAAAUCCCUGGGCUCAACCCAGGAACUGCAUCCGAAACUGUCAGUCUGGAGUGGUGAGAGGGAAGCAGAAUUCCUGGUGUAGAGGUGAAAUUCGUAGAUAUCAGGAGGAACACCGGUGGCGAAGGCGGCUUCCUGGACACUAACUGACGCUGAGACGCGAAAGCGUGGGGAGCAAACAGG
rnacentral:rRNA from 1 species